CCACCAUCGCGGUGGUCGGGCCCAACGUGUGGUUCAGGCGGAAACCGCCCGGGUCAGUUGCCCCCGAUCCAUAUGAAUAGUAGAUCCUCUAGGAGUCCGAUUCCURCGGGAGGCAUGCAAGUGGGGAAUUUUGGACAAUGGGGGAAACCCUGAUCCAGCUCUGCCGCGUGUGUGAAGAAGGCCUUCGGGUUGUAAAGCACUUUCGGACGGAACGAAAUCGCGCGGGUUAACAGCCUGCGUGGAUGACGGUACCGUAAGAAGAAGCACCGGCUAACUACGUGCCAGCAGCCGCGGUAAUACGUAGGGUGCGAGCGUUAAUCGGAAUUACUGGGCGUAAAGUGUGCGCAGGUGGCCCCGCAUGUCGAGUGUGAAAUCCCCGAGCUUAACUUGGGAAUUGCGCUCGAAACUACGGGGCUCGAGUGUGGCAGAGGGAGGUGGAAUUCCACGUGUAGCGGUGAAAUGCGUAGAGAUGUGGAGGAACACCAAUGGCGAAGGCAGCCUCCUGGGCCAACACUGACGCUCAUGCACGAAAGCGUGGGGAGCAAACAGGAUUAGAUACCCUGGUAGUCCACGCCCUAAACGAUGAUGACUAGUUGUUGGGGGAGUUAAAUCCCUUAGUAACGCAGCUAACGCGCGAAGUCAUCCGCCUGGGGAGUACGGUCGCAAGAUUAAAACUCAAAGGAAUUGACGGGGGCCCGGCACAAGCGGUGGUGUGUGGUUAAUUCGAUGCAACGCGAAAACCUUACCUACCCUUCACAUGCCAUGAACCCUGCAGAAAUGCAAGGGGU
rnacentral:rRNA from 1 species